CAGGCCUUUUUUAGUCGAAUGUAUCGCCCACUAUCAGUCCCUUCGGGAUCCAUCCCUCAUUCAUCUUAAUAAAGGUAAUCUAGACUUUUUUGACCUAGGCGACUUCUCUUCUCAGUGACAAUACCUCCUGCUGCACUGAAGGUCCUUUCUGUCAAGACACUUGAAGCGGGGCAGGCCAGAAGUUCUAUCGCAAAUUGGGAUAGCUCAGGCCACAGGUCAAGCCUGCACACCCAGUAGUCAAGGGGUUCAUCGCUCCUCAGAGUGUCGAUAUCUGCAGUUAAGGCGAGGUAGUCUGCUACCUGUCGG